GCCUGAGUAGGUGGUGUCCUGUGAGUGUCCCCACCGUGGCCUGGAUGGUGCUCCUGCUUGGGCUCCUCACUUACAGCUCAGGUGUGGAUUCUCAGACUGUGGUCACCCAGGAGUCAUUACUGUCUGUUUGUCCAGGAGGAACAGUCACACUCACCUAUGGCCUUAGCUCUGGGUCAGUCUCUAGUAGUCACUACCCCGGCUGGUACCAGCAGAGCCCAGGGUCCGGGUCUCAGGCUGUGGUGACUCAGGAGCCCUCACUGACUGUGUCCCCAGGAGGGACAGUCACUCUCACCUGUGCUUCCAGCACUGGAGCUGUCACCAGUGGUCACUAUCCAUACUGGUUCCAGCAGAAGUCUGGCCAAGCCCCCAAGACACUGCUUUAUCAUACAAGCAGUAAACACUCCUGGACCCCUGCCCAGUUCUCAGGCUCCCUCCUUGGGGGCAAAGCUGCCUUGACCCUCUCAGGGGCCCAGCCUGAGGACGAGGCCGUGUACUACUGCUGGCUGGUGUACAGUGGUGUUUGGCACAGUGAGAGACCCAGAGGGGGAAGCAGGACAGAAACCUUCUCAGCACUUAUGAUACGGGGAUGGCAGGAUCAGACACACCAGCUCUCAAGAAGCCUAUUGUGGGCCAUCCAUUGACAAGGGAAGGGAAGGGUAGAAAUGAAUUCCUAUGGGUACUUGAGGCCUAAAGUGGAGGAAAUACACAUGAUUUGGGAGGAACUUGUUCUGGAAAAGCAACACCCAAUUAUUUCAUAAUCCAGAAGGAAUAGGAAGAGCCGGAUCAGACCUAAGGGCUCUGGUCAAACACCUUCCCCCGAGAAAGGAGUACCUCCCAUGGUCUACUUUGCUGGCUCCUUUUAUAUAUCACUAAAGGGCAUGUCACUGAGUAGUGAAUAAUACAACACACAUGGGUUGUAUAAAAGCAAAAGGAUUGAAUAUCAGCGCUGGCUUCUGUGGCUCAGCAGAUAGAUGCUGAAUUGCAAACCAAAGGGUCACGGGAUCGAUUCCCAGUCAGGGCACAUGUCUGGGUUGCAGGGAAGGUCACCAGAACGGGGCACACGAGAGGCAACUACACAUUGAUGCUUCCCUCUCUGCCUCCCUUUCCCUUUAGCUAUAAAUAAAUAAAUAAAAUUUUUAGAAAAAUUAUUGAAUAUCACCAAAGUCCUCCCAAAAGUUCUCUAUGCCAAACCUUUAUUAAUAUCAAUAUAUUAUAACCAUAAUCUAUCGGUAUAUAACUGUACUUCUGAACUUCAAUGCACGCUUUCACUUCUAUUUCAAUGUAUCCAAAAUUGUGAUCAAACCUGGUGCUGACAUCUCGGCAUGUUAUAUACUGUUCAUGUCCUAUAAGAGUUAUACAGAUA